GCACUUUUAACUUAAUUGGAUUAAAGUAUUAGUUUUCGAAGCUAUAUUAUAAGGGUUCAAAUCCCUUAAAGUGCU